AUUGAACGCUGGCGGCAGGCCUAACACAUGCCAGUCGAGCGGUAACAGGAAGAAGCUUGCUUCUUUGCUGACGAGUGGCGGACGGGUGAGUAAUGUCUGGGAAACUGCCUGAUGGAGGGGGAUAACUACUGGAAACGGUAGCUAAUACCGCAUAACGUCGCAAGACCAAAGAGGGGGACCUUCGGGCCUCUUGCCAUCGGAUGUGCCCAGAUGGGAUUAGCUAGUAGGUGGGGUAACGGCUCACCUAGGCGACGAUCCCUAGCUGGUCUGAGAGGAUGACCAGCCACACUGGAACUGAGACACGGUCCAGACUCCUACGGGAGGCAGCAGUGGGGAAUAUUGCACAAUGGGCGCAAGCCUGAUGCAGCCAUGCCGCGUGUAUGAAGAAGGCCUUCGGGUUGUAAAGUACUUUCAGCGGGGAGGAAGGGAGUAAAGUUAAUACCUUUGCUCAUUGACGUUACCCGCAGAAGAAGCACCGGCUAACUCCGUG
rnacentral:rRNA from 1 species